UUAAGUUAAUAAGGGCGCACGGUGGAUGCCUUGGCACUAGAAGCCGAUGAAGGACGUGACUAACGACGAAAUGCUUUGGGGAGCUGUAAGUGAGCAAUGAUCCAGAGAUGUCCGAAUGGGGGAACCCGGCAGGUAAUGCCUGUCACUCAUUACUGUUAAGGUAAUGUAGAGGAAGACGCAGUGAACUGAAACAUCUAAGUAGCUGCAGGAAGAGAAAGCAAAAGCGAUUGCCUUAGUAGCGGCGAGCGAAACGGCAGGAGGGCAAACCGAAGAGUUUACUCUUCGGGGUUGUAGGACUGCAACGUGGACUUAAAGAUUAUAGAAGAACUACCUGGGAAGGUAGGCCAAAGAGAGUAAUAGCCUCGUAUUUGAAAUAGUCUUUAUACCUAGCAGUAUCCUGAGUACGGCGAGACACGAGAAAUCUCGUCGGAAUCUGGGAGGACCAUCUCCCAACCCUAAAUACUCUCUAGUGACCGAUAGUGAACCAGUACCGUGAGGGAAAGGUGAAAAGCACCCCGGGAGGGGAGUGAAAGAGAACCUGAAACCGUGUGCCUACAACAAGUUCGAGCCCGUUAAUGGGUGAGAGCGUGCCUUUUGUAGAAUGAACCGGCGAGUUACGAUAUGAUGCGAGGUUAAGUUGAAGAGACGGAGCCGUAGGGAAACCGAGUCUUAAUAGGGCGCAUUAGUAUCAUGUCGUAGACCCGAAACCAUGUGACCUACCCAUGAGCAGGUUGAAGGUGAGGUAAAACUCACUGGAGGACCGAACCAGGGCACGUUGAAAAGUGCUUGGAUGACUUGUGGGUAGCGGAGAAAUUCCAAACGAACUUGGAGAUAGCUGGUUCUCUCCGAAAUAGCUUUAGGGCUAGCGUCGACAGAAAGAUUCUUGGAGGUAGAGCACUGUUUGGGUGAGGGGUCCAUCCCGGAUUACCAAUCUCAGAUAAACUCCGAAUGCCAAUGAAUUAUGGUCGGCAGUCAGACUGCGAGUGCUAAGAUCCGUAGUCGAAAGGGAAACAGCCCAGACCACCAGCUAAGGUCCCAAAAUAAUUGUUAAGUGGAAAAGGAUGUGGGGUUGCACAGACAACUAGGAUGUUAGCUUGGAAGCAGCUAUUCAUUCAAAGAGUGCGUAAUAGCUCACUAGUCGAGUGACCCUGCGCCGAAAAUGUACCGGGGCUAAAACAAUUUACCGAAGCUGUGGAUCCUUUAGGGGAUGGUAGGAGAGCGUUCUAUGUGUGGUGAAGGUGUACCGUGAGGAGCGCUGGAACGCAUAGAAGUGAGAAUGCCGGUAUGAGUAGCGAAAGACAGGUGAGAAUCCUGUCCACCGUAAGACUAAGGUUUCCAGGGGAAGGCUCGUCCGCCCUGGGUUAGUCGGGACCUAAGGAGAGACCGAAAGGUGUAUCCGAUGGACAACAGGUUGAUAUUCCUGUACUAGAGUAUAUAGUGAUGGAGGGACGCAGUAGGCUAACUAAACCAGACGAUUGGAAGUGUCUGGCCAAGCAGUGAGGUGUGAUAUGAGUCAAAUGCUUAUAUCUAUAACAUUGAGCUGUGAUGGGGAGCGAAGUUUAGUAGCGAAGUUAGUGAUGUCACACUGCCGAGAAAAGCUUCUAGCGUUAAUUAUACUCUACCCGUACCGCAAACCGACACAGGUAGUCGAGGCGAGUAGCCUCAGGUGAGCGAGAGAACUCUCGUUAAGGAACUCGGCAAAAUGACCCCGUAACUUCGGGAGAAGGGGUGCUGAUUUAGGUCAGCCGCAGUGAAUAGGCCCAAGCAACUGUUUAUCAAAAACACAGCUCUCUGCUAAAUCGUAAGAUGAUGUAUAGGGGGUGACGCCUGCCCGGUGCUGGAAGGUUAAGAGGAGUGCUUAGCGUAAGCGAAGGUAUGAAUUGAAGCCCCAGUAAACGGCGGCCGUAACUAUAACGGUCCUAAGGUAGCGAAAUUCCUUGUCGGGUAAGUUCC
rnacentral:rRNA from 1 species